CACAAGUCCAUAUCAAGUAUCAUGGCUUCGAUGUCAGAAUAGGAUGGAAUAUCAUUAUCAUCAUCAAUCUCAGAUUCUUCCUCAUUUAAUGUUAAGGGUUUGGCUUCUGGUACUGAAGUAACUUGUUUAGGAGAGCAUGGUUUUGCAUACAAUGGCAAACCCAUGGCAUUACAUGCAAGUAAUGCCUCUGCCUUUAGUAGUCCAACUGGACCAGAAUUUAGAGUUGCCCGUGCUGCUGUGCAUUGAUUGGUACAUCUGUAAGCAUUGCUAGCCUGUCCGGACGCCACAUCAUCAGGAGAUUCACAUUUGAUUCCACAGCCGAUGAGUUGGUUGCCUGGGCUGGUUACUGGCAACAUGUCCAGUCUUGUCAUCUGGCAAGCAAUAUGAGAUUGUGCAGGAUUUGCUUCUUUCUUC
rnacentral:misc_RNA from 1 species